CAAGUGCUACAACCGCUCAAAACAGGUUUUUAAGCUCGAAAAUUCGAGCACCUGCAUGGCGAGUCUGAGUGCAAGA
rfam:Pontibacillus chungwhensis BH030062 contig10, whole genome shotgun sequence.